GGUAAGAUUUAAAUAUGUACUUCGCUUGUUGCGGUACUACUCUUAGUUGAUGCUAGUGUUCCCACACAGAAGAUAGAUCUUGAUUGUGCUAAUUGGCUCGGACGCAAUAAUAUACCUAUCACCUUUGUCUUUACCAAGUGUGAUAAGAUGAAAGGAGGAAAAGGCGCACGACCUGAAGAAAACAUCAGAAGUUUUCAGGGAUUAAUCAGAGAGAACUACAAGCAACAUCCCCCAUGGAUCAUGACUAGCAGUGUCACCAAUUUAGGCAGAGAUGAACUUCUUCUCCACAUGUCACAGCUAUGAAACUAUUGGGAUGUUUAACUACUACUACACAUUAGAACUGGCAUUUUGUAAGAUUAAAUAGAGAAAUGCCAAAUGAAACUUUAUGUUGCUUGUAA